CGUCGAAAUGUCUUUGACUUAAUCACAUGCCAUUCACGUGUCAUUUCUAGGCGAGGAUUUUUUUUUUUCAUUUUUUGAAGUAAACAUAACCCACUUUCUUGUAACUUCUCAACCCUAGCUGUCUUCUCUCUCAUCUAUCCCUCCAUCUACUCAGAGAUCAGCAAAAAUUAUCAAAAAAAUUCCCAUCUCAAAUUGCUUCUCGUUGUAAAUUCAUUCGAUUUUGUGCUCAAAUGGUAGGUUCUUAUGCUUGUCUAACCCCAAAACAUUUUCGCAGAAGAAAAAAAGUCUCUUUUUUUUUCUGAGUAUUUGCUUUAUUAUUCAACAUCGAGCUAUUUGGAAAUUUUAGAGGAUCUGAGUGUUUCGGAACACUAGCACCACAUCAAACCAUCAUUUUCAUGUGGGAAGAAAGAAGACUUGGGAUGGAUUUAUUUGCAUGUUAUCAUCAUUAAUCGUGGCUGCUAUGUCAGGAUUUCAAGAAAACAAUGACAGUAAUUGGAAUGGAAGAUUUUAUAUACACGAGAACAACAAAGUCGAGCGUGUUUAAUUAUUACCUACAAUUGAUUUUCCAAUAAUUAGUGAUCAUUAUGAAUUGCCAACCUUUAAACUCUAGAAUAAUGAGUUACUUGGGAAACAAAGUUGAUGACUCAAUUAGUAUGUCAAUAAAUGGAACUACUGGCUUCUGGUCAAAAGAAAUGACGUCAACUGAGACAGAAUCAACAGGUUAGGGAUUUUUUUUAACGAACAACCUUCCCUUAGCUUCCUCACACGCUUGAUGAUCCUCUUCCUCCCACAAUAUCCAGACACAAUUAAGAAUUCUACACCUCGUCUCCUUCCUCUUCCCCUUAUCCCACCACAAAAUUAAAAGACCUAAGAAAACAUGUACACAACUUGGACAUCUUAAUUGAUUUACUUGACCUCACACAAGUAUCCCUCAGUCUUUCUUGAGUUUCUUGUAUUGGUGACGAGCACAAUCAUAUUAAAUUUGUGUUUCGUUUGGUUGAAAACUUGAAUCUUGGCAACAACAAUUCAAAGUGAUAAGAUUUUGUAAUGUAGAAGAAAAAUCUUAUGGAUGUCCUAAUUUUCAUUUUUUUUUCCAACAGACAUUAGAGACUUUGAAAUUCCAACAAUUUCGUUUAUUGGCCCCUCAAUUAAAAAUUGAAUCCAUAUUGAUAAGGUUGGUUGCUGUAGGUUAUCGCUGCUGCCCGUUGGUUGUUGCAGAAAUUUAUGGUUGCUCGAUGGUGGUGGUGGUGGUGGUGCUGCUGCUACUAAAAACAUCUUGCAUAUAAACCAUUAUAUAUAUUGUGUAUAAACCAUUGUAAUUUUUUAAUUUUUUGGUAACAAUAUCGGCAUUUAUAAAUGAAAAUUUUCAAUAUUAUGCAUGUAUAAAUGUUUGUAUCAAGUUAAGGUAAAAAAAGGCAGGAAAAAAAAAUAUGCAAUAUAGGCGCUGGUUCCACUGCAAACCAAUGCCAAAGUGACAAAUAAAAAAAAUAAUAAUUCUCGACGCUUUAUUGUGUAGAAAAUUGAGGUUAAAAUUAAAUUUUCCUAUAGAAAGUGUAGACGUAAAAAAG